rnacentral:rRNA from 1 species
UACGGGAGGCAGCAGUGGGGAAUAUUGCACAAUGGGCGCAAGCCUGAUGCAGCCAUGCCGCGUGUAUGAAGAAGGCCUUCGGGUUGUAAAGUACUUUCAGUCGUGAGGAAGGUGUUAAGGUUAAUAACCUUAGCAAUUGACGUUAGCGACAGAAGAAGCACCGGCUAACUCCGUGCCAGCAGCCGCGGUAAUACGGAGGGUGCGAGCGUUAAUCGGAAUUACUGGGCGUAAAGGGCACGCAGGCGGUUAAUUAAGUUGGAUGUGAAAUCCCCGGGCUUAACCUGGGAAUGGCAUUCAAGACUGGUUAGCUAGAGUCUUGUAGAGGGGGUAGAAUUCCAUGUGUAGCGGUGAAAUGCGUAGAGAUGUGGAGGAAAUACCGGUGGGCGAAAGGCGGGCCCCUGGGGCAAAAGGACUGACGCUCAUGUGCGAAAAGCGUGGGGAGCAAAACAGGGAUUAGAUACC